UAGGACUGCAGCGUCGGAAUCCGGGCAGAAAUAUCCAACAUUAGCGGCUGACCCGGGUGGUACAAGUUAAGAAAUUAUUGUAGAUUAUAUGCUAAUACUUAUCGGUCAGAUAAUAAUAUGUUAUGCUAUAUAAAGACUGUUGAGCACUUCAAUUCAUGACUAUUAGACCUUAUCGUGACCUAUUUAACAUCGUGUCAUCAACAAGUAUAAACUAUACCCGGGAUAAAACGUGCUUGUUUUCAUAGAUGAAUUACUUGACAUUCGCUAGUUUAAGCCUUGUGGCUCUCGGUCUGUGUAUUCUCAACGUCGAUGCAUCUAUCCCGAAGCUACUGGGCUCCUUUAAGCUAGAGCACCCGGGCUUUACAACCGUGUUCCGGAACCAGACUGGAAACAUCACAACGUAUGACUUGUUGGUCUCUUCAUUCAAUGCAGUGCCAUUAUCUACCGAUGGUGCCUACAUUGUUCGAAAUAUUGGCAGAUACCUGUCCAAUAUUGCCGCCAUACGUCCAGAACUCAUCACGAGUCAAGUAACAUGGCCCAAUGAAGUUGCACAAGUUCCAGAUGCUGUCUUCGGUACAUCCACGAUAUCAAUUGCUGGUGGAUUUUUGGUACCUUUUAAAACUAAUGGCGCCAUAAAGCUCGCAGAUAUUACGAGCCAGGCGAGUAUUAAAGGACCCUAUGAUAUCACAGCUGGAAGUAGUAAAGACUGGUUUUACCAUAAAGUACAAUGGGUUGAUAUGGAUAAAGAUGGCGACCUAGACAUUUUAACUUGUAGAGCCAGAAAACCUAUAUUUGGAUCUUCUGAAGGACAAUUACUUUGGUUAGAGAAUCCAACAAACCACAGUAUGCAGGAUCCAUGGAAACAACACGUGUUGGGCGAGGGGCCAGAUAUAUUCUUCCACCAUUCUGUAUUAAAUAGUUCUGGGAUUCCUACAGAGUUUAUAUUCACUUCCGGUUAUUUUUCUAAAGCUCUUUCCGUCUACUACCUCACUUCCGGAAACACAUGGACAGAUCCGUCGAUGGUAAAAUCACGAGUAAUUGAUUCAACAAUUGGAGGAGUGUUUGGUGUGGAUGUUGUAGAUAUCAACCAAGAUGGCGUUCAGGAUUUACUGGUAACCACUAACAACGAGCAGGGUAAUGGUGGAACAGUCCUGGUUUAUACUGUACCAUCAGAUGCUAGGUAGGAACACUGGCUAUAA